CCUAGGGGAGGCAGCAGUGGGGAAUAUUGCACAAUGGGCGCAAGCCUGAUGCAGCCAUGCCGCGUGUAUGAAGAAGGCCUUCGGGUUGUAAAGUACUUUCAGCGGGGAGGAAGGUGUUGUGGUUAAUAACCGCAGCAAUUGACGUUACCCGCAGAAGAAGCACCGGCUAACUCCGUGCCAGCAGCCGCGGUAAU
rnacentral:rRNA from 1 species